rnacentral:rRNA from 1 species
UACGGAGGGCGCAAGCGUUGUUCGGAAUCACUGGGCGUAAAGCGCGUGUAGGCGGCUUGGCAAGUCGGGUGUGAAAUCCCGAGGCUCAACCUCGGAACUGCACUCGAAACUGCCUGGCUCGAGUCCCGGAGAGGGUGGCGGAAUUCCCGGUGUAGGGGUGAAAUCCGUAGAUAUCGGGAGGAACACCAGUGGAGAAGGCGGCCACCUGGACGGUGACUGACGCUGAGACGCGAAAGCGUGGGGAGCAAACAGG